GACAGAGGGUGCGAACGUUGCUCGGAUUUACUGGGCGUAAAGCGUGUGUAGGCGGCCACGCAAGUCGGAUGUGAAAGCCCUGGGCUCGACCCAGGAAGUGCACCCGAUACUGCGACGGCUUGAGUACCGGAGAGGUUGGUGGAAUUCUCGGUGUAGAGGUGAAAUUCGUAGAUAUCGAGAGGAACACCGGUGGCGAAGGCGGCCAACUGGACGAGUACUGACGCUGAGACACGAAAGCGUGGGGAGCAAACAGG
rnacentral:rRNA from 1 species